AGCGACAACGACAACGACAACGACAACGCUACGGGCUACGAUGACGUCGAGGGCGACGACGGCGACGACGUUGGCGACGGUAGUAGCGGAGGGACGGGGAUGAGAGUCGAUGGUCGAAGCGAACGGCAAUAAAUCCAUUUUUCGUGAAGGGUCGGUCGAGGGGCGAGAGCGAGCCAGGGUCUGAUUAGCAGCCUGACUCGCCGUACAGGAUGACAGCCGGAUUCUCGCCGGCUGAUCGUGAAUCACCGGGUCGUCAAACUUUCGAGCAACGCGUGGCAACGUAGAAGAUUCGUCGCGUUAAAGCUGAGCGAUCGAUGUCGUUUCGAAAGAUCGAAA
rnacentral:misc_RNA from 1 species